rnacentral:rRNA from 1 species
UACAGAGGUCCCAAGCGUUGUUCGGAUUCACUGGGCGUAAAGGGUGCGUAGGCGGUCGGGUAAGUCUGAUGUGAAAUCUCACAGCUUAACUGUGAAACUGCAUUGGAUACUAUCCGGCUCGAGGAAUGGAGGGGAGACUGGAAUACUUGGUGUAGCAGUGAAAUGCGUAGAUAUCAAGUGGAACACCAGUGGCGAAGGCGGCUCUCUAGUACGGUACUGACGCUGAGACGCGAAAGCGUGGGGAGCAAACAGG